rnacentral:rRNA from 1 species
GACGAACGCUGGCGGCGUGCCUAAUACAUGCAAGUCGAACGCUGAAGAGAGGAGCUUGCUCUUCUUGGAUGAGUUGCGAACGGGUGAGUAACGCGUAGGUAACCUGCCUUGUAGCGGGGGAUAACUAUUGGAAACGAUAGCUAAUACCGCAUAACAAUGGAUGACACAUGUCAUUUAUUUGAAAGGGGCAAUUGCUCCACUACAAGAUGGACCUGCGUUGUAUUAGCUAGUAGGUGAGGUAAUGGCUCACCUAGGCGACGAUACAUAGCCGACCUGAGAGGGUGAUCGGCCACACUGGGACUGAGACACGGCCCAGACUCCUACGGGAGGCAGCAGUAGGGAAUCUUCGGCAAUGGGGGCAACCCUGACCGAGCAACGCCGCGUGAGUGAAGAAGGGUUUCGGAUCGUAAAGUUCUGUUGUAAGUCAAGAACGGGUGUGAGAGUGGAAAGUUCACACUGUGACGGUAGCUUACCAGAAAGGGACGGCUAACUACGUG